rnacentral:misc_RNA from 1 species
CGGACGCGUGGGUGGAAAUCCAGACUGCUUCUAUUUCUUAGCCUUUAUGAUUGUUGUGAGAGUCAAUAGGGAUAUGCAGGGUGUUCUUCAUGGUAUAGGACAUGGGUUUAGGGGCACGUACCCUACCAUGAUAUAGCUGAGUCAUAUGGUCAUUUCUAUCUUUAGCCUGUUCAGACCCCUUCAUGCUGAUUUCAAUAAGUGAAUACAUCAAG